GACGAACGCUGGCGGCGUGCCUAAUGCAUGCAAGUCGAGCGGGGCUAUGUAAUAUCGCAAGGUAGAACAUAGCCUAGCGGCGAACGGGUGAGUAACACGUGGGUAACCUGCCUGGAAGACAGGGAUAACGAUUCGAAAGGGUCGCUAAUACCUGAUAAUAUCCUUUCAUCGCAUGGUGAUAGGAAGAAAGGGGAAACCCGCUUUCAGAUGGGCCCGCGUCCCAUCAGCUAGUUGGUAAGGUAAAGGCUUACCAAGGCGACGACGGGUAGCCGGUCUGAGAGGAUGUACGGCCACACUGGGACUGAGAUACGGCCCAGACUCCUACGGGAGGCAGCAGUUGGGAAUCUUAGGCAAUGGACGAAAGUCUGACCUAGCGACGCCGCGUGAGGGAAGAAGGCCUUCGGGUUGUAAACCUCUGUCAGUGGGGAAGAAGUAAGUGACGGUACCCCAAGAGGAAGCCCCUGCUAACUACGUG
rnacentral:rRNA from 1 species